CUGAUUGUGGCCUAGUGGAUAAGGUGAAUGACUGGAGAUCAGAAGGUUGUUGGUUCGAACACCUAUAAUA